CCAAUGGCACUGCCCGGUAGCUAAAUGCGGAAGAGAUAAGUGCUGAAAGCAUCUAAGCACGAAACUUGCCCCGAGAUGAGUUCUCCCUGACUCCUUGAGAGUCCUGAAGGAACGUUGAAGACGACGACGUUGAUAGGCCGGGUGUGUAAGCGCAGCGAUGCGUUGAGCUAACCGGUACUAAUGAACCGUGAGGCUUAACCUUACAACGCCGAAG
rnacentral:rRNA from 1 species